AGAAUAGAACCACAUUGUUCUAUUCUCAUUCCCUCUAUAAAAAUCACCUUUCUCCAUAAAUUCACCACCACCUCAAAAAAACUAACCAACCAAACACAACACAACAACACCCUUUUUCUCCGAAACCUCAAAAAUCUCACACAUCUUGUAAAACUUGUUCCAUUUCCAAUGAGUAUGUUAGGCCUAAGAGACCUAGUCCUCAUAGCUCCAUCACCUUCAUCUCUUCAUCAUCAUCAACAACAGCAACAACACAAUCAUCAAAACCAACAAAUUUCAUCAGAUCACAAUUCAUCAGCUUCCUUAAGUGUCGGUUUUGGAAUUUUCCCACUUCUUACAGCCACACCCUGCAUGCCGCCACAACAACAACCGAACCAAUCUCAAAACAAUGAAGUUCAAGAAAAUAGUAACAACAAUUUUUGGAACCUUAGGAUGUGUCCUGAGGUUUCAAAAAAAGGAGUGAUAACUGAUAAUAAUAAUAAUAAUAAUAACAAUGAUGAUGAUGAGAAUCAUCAUCAUAAUAAUAGUAACAAGAUGGUUAUGAUGGAGAGUGAAGAGAAUGGUGUGUAUGGUUCUGAGUAUAGAGUGUGUCAUGAUUGUGGUAAUAGAGCGAAGAAAGAUUGUGUUUAUAGGAGGUGUAGGACUUGUUGUAAGGGACGUGGUUAUGAUUGUAGUACUCAUUUGAAGAGUACUUGGAUUCCGUCCACUCGUCGGCGGGAUCGGGAAGGGGAGAUUGUUAGUGGUGGUGGCGGCGGCGGUGGUGGUGAUGGUGGUGGUGGUGAAGGUUGUUCCGGUGUUAAGAGACCAAAGAUUUUGUUAGGGUCAUCACAGAAUGCUACUGCGACUUCUCAUAGUUCAAAUUCUAAUGGUACUACACCAAAGAGUUUUGCUAAUAGCUCUUGUCAUCAAGAUGCUAGUUUCAAGGAGGCAUUACCAGGUCAAGUUCAUGCACCUGCUGUAUUCAGAUGCCAUAGAGUAACUGCUAUUGGAAAUGGAGAAGAUGAAUUUGCUUAUUUGGCAACGGUUCAUAUUAGUGGCCAUGUGUUUAAAGGGUUUCUCUAUGAUCAUGGUGUUGAUGGGAAAAAUCCAAUGCCUUGUGUUUCUGAACUUCAAUUGGGAAACAAUUGUAGUGGAAAGAAUGGUGAAUGUUCUUCUGCAAUUGGUGUUCAAACUAAUACUGCUUACCCUGCUUCUGCUAGCUAGAUGGAGAUUCAUUAUAAGGUUAAUUACUAGUAUCAUGAAAUGGAGGGAAUAUAAAGGAAAAGGUGAUGGAUGAGUUUGGUAAAGCAGCAAAGAAUGGAAGUUUUAUUAUGCUGUUUUGUUGAGAAAACUAACAUAUAUGCUAAGUGGUCAUUGAUUGUGUAGAUUUAUUCUCUAAAAUGUUUAAAUGCAUAAUGAACCAUUUGUUAAAUUUCUUGCACUAGGUUAGUGACAUUGAUGUUGCAAAGAUUUUUAUAUUCAAUGUUUAAUGAAGUUUUUAAUUAUUUUAUGAA